GACGAACGCUGGCGGCGUGCUUAACACAUGCAAGUCGAACGGAAAGGCCCUGCUUUUGUGGGGUGCUCGAGUGGCGAACGGGUGAGUAACACGUGAGUAACCUGCCCUUGACUUUGGGAUAACUUCAGGAAACUGGGGCUAAUACCGGAUAGGAGCUCCUGCUGCAUGGUGGGGGUUGGAAAGUUUCGGCGGUUGGGGAUGGACUCGCGGCUUAUCAGCUUGUUGGUGGGGUAGUGGCUUACCAAGGCUUUGACGGGUAGCCGGCCUGAGAGGGUGACCGGCCACCUUGGGACUGAGCUACGGCACAGACUCCUACGGGAGGCAGCAGUGGGGAAUAUUGCACAAUGGGCGGAAGCCUGAUGCAGCAACGCCGCGUGCGGGAUGACGGCCUUCGGGCUGUAAACCGCUUUCGCCUGUGACGAAGCGUGAGUGACGGUAAUGGGUAAAGAAGCACCGGCUAACUACGUG
rnacentral:rRNA from 1 species